AUAGCUCUUCAUUUUUAUCAUCAGAUGUAUCUCGAACCUGAAUAGUUACAUGGAAAUCUGCGGACUAAGGAUAAUAAGAAAACAAAAUCAAAAUGACUACAGUGUUAUAAUAUAAAUUUUGAAAUGAUCCUCUACUUCUUUACCAACUCAAGUACUAUGAUCAUCUACUCAUCAAACACUAUGAUCACCCACUCAUUUACCAAAUUAAGCAUCAUUUUUGUUAUUUUAUGUAUUGUUGUUCACUAUAAAUACCAUCACUCAUC
rnacentral:lncRNA from 1 species